UGGGGAGUGGUGUAACGGUAACACGCCUGCCUUUGGAGCAGCGCGACUCAAGGUCCGAAUCCUUGCUCCCCAACAA
rnacentral:tRNA from 4 species